rnacentral:rRNA from 1 species
AGUGAACGCUGGCGGUAGGCCUAACACAUGCAAGUCGAACGGCAGCACAGUAAGAGCUUGCUCUUACGGGUGGCGAGUGGCGGACGGGUGAGGAAUACAUCGGAAUCUACUUUUUCGUGGGGGAUAACGUAGGGAAACUUACGCUAAUACCGCAUACGACCUACGGGUGAAAGCAGGGGAUCUUCGGACCUUGCGCGAUUGAAUGAGCCGAUGUCGGAUUAGCUAGUUGGCGGGGUAAAGGCCCACCAAGGCGACGAUCCGUAGCUGGUCUGAGAGGAUGAUCAGACACACUGGAACUGAGACACUGUCCAGACUCCUACGGGAGGCAGCAGUGGGGAAUAUUGGACAAUGGGCGCAAGCCUGAUCCAGCCAUACCGCGUGGGUGAAGAAGGCCUUCGGGUUGUAAAGCCCUUUUGUUGGGAAAGAAAAGCAGCAGGUUAAUACCCCGCUGUUCUGACGGUACCUAAAGAAUAAGCACCGGCUAACUUCGUG